AUAAAUAAAUGUUUUAAAUUAAAUGUAAAUAAAUUAAACUACCAUAAUAGAUAAAAUGUUGGAUCCACCCCUUUAUUUCCCUAGCCCUACCUGUAAACUUGUACACCUGUAUAUAGAUAAUUAGUUACCUUAGGGCAGGUCAGAGGUUUUGGUGUUUUAUUGGUUUUCAUUGGUAGUUUGUUUAUAAAGUUGGAUCUCAUUGGUUUUAUUCUUUUGGUCAUUGGUUUUACCGCCAAAAUAUUCAUUCUUUGUCUUGUUGAGAGAUUACCAAGACUUCAUUUUAUGGACUCUCUCAUGACCUUGACUUGGAGACUGACUUUUUUUCCACUUUUGAAUCCAUAUACAUGUUUAUGACAUCAUACAUACAUGUGGUAAUUAAAGCCUUUUCCCACAGAAUGGGCUAUGUUAAUAUAUACUGCUCACUGUGUCAAUAAAAUAGACCUGAACCUGACAGAGGCGUGC